AUUGAACGCUGGCGGCAGGCCUAACACAUGCAAGUCGAGCGGAAACGAGAAUAGCUUGCUAUUCGGCGUCGAGCGGCGGAUGGGUGAGUAAUGCCUGGGAAAUUGCCCUGAUGUGGGGGAUAACCAUUGGAAACGAUGGCUAAUACCGCAUAAUAGCUUCGGCUUAAAGAGGGGGACCUUCGGGCCUCUCGCUUCAGGAUAUGCCCAGGUGGGAUUAGCUAGUUGGUGAGGUAAAGGCUCACCAAGGCGACGAUCCCUAGCUGGUCUGAGAGGAUGAUCAGCCACACUGGAACUGAGACACGGUCCAGACUCCUACGGGAGGCAGCAGUGGGGAAUAUUGCACAAUGGGCGCAAGCCUGAUGCAGCCAUGCCGCGUGUAUGAAGAAGGCCUUCGUGUUGUAAAGUACUUUCAGCAGUGAGGAAGGGUGUGUAGUUAAUAGCUGCAUACUUUGACGUUAGCUGCAGAAGAAGCACCGGCUAACUCCGUGCCAGCAGCCGCGGUAAUACGGAGGGUGCGAGCGUUAAUCGGAAUUACUGGGCGUAAAGCGCAUGCAGGUGGUUUGUUAAGUCAGAUGUGAAAGCCCGGGGCUCAACCUCGGAACCGCAUUUGAAACUGGCAGACUAGAGUACUGUAGAGGGGGGUAGAAUUUCA
rnacentral:rRNA from 1 species